rnacentral:rRNA from 1 species
UUUUAUGGAGAGUUUGAUCCUGGCUCAGGACGAACGCUGGCGGCGUGCCUAAUACAUGCAAGUCGAGCGGACUGAUGGGAGCUUGCUCCCUGAUGUUAGCGGCGGACGGGUGAGUAACACGUGGGCAACCUGCCUGUAAGACUGGGAUAACUCCGGGAAACCGGGGCUAAUACCGGAUAACCCGUUCCACCUCAUGGUGGAGCGGUAAAAGAUGGCCUCURGCUAUCACUUACAGAUGGGCCCGCGGCGCAUUAGCUAGUUGGUAAGGUAACGGCUUACCA